GAUUGAGGCAAUUGGACCAACCUUGAGAGACCAACCAUUGGAGCAAGCUAUGAAGCUUGAUUAGCUCCAUUGGAUAGGUUUUGUUUGAGAAGUGAAGUAUUGUAAUUGACUGACUGUGGAACCUGUUGGUGGUGAACAAAGGGUGACUGAAGCAUUGAGGUAAGGAUGCUGUAGGAGCCACCAGUGGCAAGUUGCCAUAUUUGGAUUAGCAUAUGCAUGAGGAUCCUAUAUUUUGAUAUUAUACAUGUUGUUUUGUAACUCACAUGUAUAGGAUUGUAAUUCAUAGACCAUUGAUAGAUGUAUGAUUUGUAUAUUGGAAUGGACUUAGCCUAUGCUCAUGCCUUUGGUCAUCUCUUUUGUUGAUGGGAGCCAAGGGAAUGAUCAUAGUGUUUUGUAAGCUAA